AGAUUGAACGCUGGCGGCAUGCCUAACACAUGCAAGUCGAACGGCAGCGCGGGGGCAACCCUGGCGGCGAGUGGCGGACGGGUGAGGAAUACAUAGGAAUCUACCCUGUCGUGGGGGAUAACGUAGGGAAACUUACGCUAAUACCGCAUACGACCGAGAGGUGAAAGCGGCGGACCGCAAGGCGUCGCGCGGCUGGAUGAGCCUAUGUCCGAUUAGCUAGUUGGCGGGUAAGAGCCCACCAAGGCGACGAUCGGUAGCUGGUCUGAGAGGAUGAUCAGCCACACUGGGACUGAGACACGGCCCAGACUCCUACGGGAGGCAGCAGUGGGAAUAUUGGACAAUGGGACGCAAGCCUGAUCCAGCAAUGCCGCGUGUGUGAAGAAGGCCUUCGGUUGUAAAGCUACGUUUUGUUAGGGAAGAAAGCACGUUAGGUUAACUACCCGUGGUGUACUGACGGUACCCAAAGAAUAAGCACCGGCUAACUCGUGCCAGCAGCCGACGUAAC
rnacentral:rRNA from 1 species